AGCUGCAUAGAUGGGGGAGGUGUGUGUGUUAAUCGCUCAGUUGUAUCCAACUCUUUGUGACCUCAUGGACUGUAGCCUGCCAGGCUUCUCUGUCCAUGGGAUUCUCAGGCCAGAAUGCUGGAGUGGGUUGCCAUUUCCUUCUCCAGGGGAUCUUCCUGACCCAGAGAUCCAACCUGGAUCUCCUACAUUGCAGGGAGAUUCUUUACCACUGCGCCACCAGGGAAGCCCCUAGAUUGGGGCGGGGGAAGCGACAAAAGAGGUGGAAAGACUCUAGCAGACCCACUGGAGAGGAGGGCAGAGGGGGGUUAUGGAGGAGAGUGUGAGGCCCUGAGGAUUUAGUAAGUUCUAGAGAAGAGCUGAAAGUGGGUGAAAGUGAAAGUCGCUCAGUCAAGUCCGACUCUUUGUGAUCCCAUGGACUAUAUAGUCCCUGGAUUUCGCUCCAGGCCCAAAUACUGGAGUGGGUAGCCUUUCCCUUCUCCAGGGAAUCUUUACAACCCAGGGAUUGAACCCAGGUCUCCAGCAUUGCAGGCGGAUUCCUUACCAGCUGAGACACCAGAGAGUUAAAAAGGGUUUGACGAUUAAUCACGAAUUAUGACUUAGAUUUUUUAAAAUUUUUAGAGAGAUGAGUAACGCUGAAAUGCCUGUUUGAGCUGUGCUUCUUCAAAUAAGUGUCCAUUCUGAGACUAGACCGCUUGGGCUGUGACCGUGGACUGGAAACAGAGAGAGGAAGAGCACGCCCAUCAGGAGCCAAUCACGUCCGAGGCUCUAGUGUUUCCCUUUGCUAAUCUUCUUGCAAGUCCUUGGUUGAUUCCCAAGCCCAUUCCCCAGAACAGCUAUUUCAAAACUCCAUCACUUCCCCAGUCUCCUGAAAGUCCUCCUCUUUCUGUCCCCAUUGGCUCUCAACAGAUGGCGUGUCUCAUACCGAGGACAUUGAGGUGAUCAAGUGAGAACUUGCCAAAUUUCCUACUCCGUAGCCAAUGACUUGAUCUGUUUCUACACCCCACUCCUCUCUUUGUUUAAGUCUCACCUCUCCACCAGUCUUGUUAAUCAGAUUUGCCUUCAGCUUUUCUAGGUGGAAUCACAUCUUAAGAUGAAGAUUAGAUUCUUAAGUCUGCACAUAGACAAAAGUCACAUAUAGUCAAAAUUACCCUAGUAGAUUUCUUACAUUACCCACAACAGCAGAUCAAAUGUGGCUUUGAGAAUAUAGUCCUGGAAAGUAAUAUAUAGGUGUGAGUAUAUCAAGCAGACAGCAAUAUACAGGUAUAAGGCAUGUAUAAUGUAUAAGGCUACACAGAGUGCAUG
ensembl:lncRNA